ACGAACGUAGCUCAGUUGGUUAGAGCGUCAGGUUGUGGCCCUGAAGGCCGUGGGUUCAAGCCCCAUCGUUCGUC
rnacentral:tRNA from 1 species